rnacentral:lncRNA from 1 species
AUGUGGCUUAAAAAAAAAGAGAGAAAGGAAAAAGCAACUUUCUUUUUAUGGAACUCUGGCAUUUAUAAUUCCUGUUUUCCUUGUGGAAGGGAAAUGGAGAAAGAAGUGAAAAGAAAUAUUGGAAAACCUGCCAGCCUAGCAAGUAGCAUUUUCUUGGAUCCUAAGGAAACUUCUGGCCACAUUUGGUUUCUUGUUUUUGUUUGUUUUGCUUUGCUUUUGUCGAAGGUGAAGGUCAGCACUGCAGAGCUGGUGAAGAAAAGAGGGAUUUGGGAAUGUUUUAUUUCAAGUCAAAAGAUUCUUUCAUGUGAGGAGACAUGGGAAAAACCAGACGAGAUAUAGCAAUGGAGUGAUAUGCAAAAAAUUUUGACUGAAAAAUGUGAAGUCCAUUAGAAAAAGCAGUGACUGACCUUGACAGCCCUUCUGGGUCUAGAUACUUCAGUGAGUAGAAUCUUUUUCCUUUGGUGCCAGUAAGAACUAGUUUUAUGGGGUCAGCAAUUUCCACUUAAGGCUUCAUCACUGUGUGAGGCAUUUCA